GAGUUUGAUCAUGGCUCAGAGUGAACAUUGGCGGCGUGCCCAACACAUGCAAGUCGAGCGGGGACAUUUUGAGAUUACAUCAAGAGAUGUUCUAGCGGCAAACGGGUGAGUAAUGCACAGACGACCUACCCUCGAGUGGGGAAUAGUCCCGGGAAACCGGGGAUAAUACCGCAUAACACUCCGACGUCAAGUCGGAGUCAAACCAGCAAUGGGCUUGAGGAGGGGUUUGUGUCCUAUCAGUUAGUUGGCGGGGUAACGGCCCACCAAGACGAUGACGGGUAGCUGGUCUGAAAGGAUGGUCAGCCACACUGGAACUGAGACACGGUCCAGACUCCUACGGGAGGCAGCAGUGGGGAAUCUUGCGCAAUGGGGGAAACCCUGACGCAGCGACGCCGCGUGGAGGAUGAAGGUCUUCGGAUUGUAAACUCCUUUUGUUGGGGAAAAAACAAAUGAUUGUACCCGACGAAUAAGUCACGGCUAACUACGUGCCAGCAGCCGCGGUAAUACGUAGGUGGCGAAUGUUACUCGGAAUUACUAGGCGUAAAGCGCAUGCAGGUGGUUGGAAAAGUCCGCUGUAAAAUUCUCCCGUUCAACGGGAAAAAGUCAGCGGAUACUAUCCGGCUUGAGUGUGGGAGAGGGAACCGGAAUUCCUGGUGUAGCGGUGAAAUGCGUAGAUAUCAGGAGGAACACCAAUGGCGAAAGCAGGUUCCUGGACCAUUACUGACGCUCAGAUGCGAA
rnacentral:rRNA from 1 species